GCCUGCGUCCUCAGCCUCCCUGAAGGCACCGUCCACCGCGUCCCCGUGCCAGUUCCCGACGACGUCAUCCAGAGCGUCUCCACCGGCGCCAUGCUCUUUCUCGUGCACCGCGACGGCGGGUGCUCCCUCAUGGACCCUCUCUCCACGACGAUCACCCCUCAGCACAUCAGCCCCGACUGCCUCUGGCCCUCGAGGCCGUCGAAGAGGCAGAGGGCAGCGGUUCCCCCCUUCGCUGGCAACAUCUCCAAGGUGGUGGUGGCGGACCACGUCGUGGCCGUCCGGACUGGCGUCAACCUUGGGUCAAAGAAGGUCGCUCUCUCUGCCCGCGGACCCAGAGGCCGCCGCUACAUGGCGUGGGAGUGGGACCCGCCCCACUACUUGGACAGCGUCGUCGACAUUGCGCUCUUCAGAAGGAAGCUCUACGUUCUAACGAGAGUACACAAUGACCCAUGCCGGACUGAGCUCUACGUCCUGGAAGACAACCUCCCCGCCGGCGAUGUCACAUACAUGCAGUGCAUAUGCAGUGAACCCCCGGCCAGGCCGGAGCAAUCGUACUACCACAGGGCUGACCCGUCCUACUACUACUACCUGGUCUCAUCAGGCGAUCGGCUUCUGAUGGUGAUGGAGCACGCCGCCGCGCCGGCCAAGUUCGAGGUCUUUGAGGCGGCGGGGCUAGGCAGUGGCCACGGACGGUGGAGCAAGAUCGAGACGCUGGAUGGUCGUGCUCUGUUCGUGAGCAAAGGCUGCUCGAAGUCGCUUCCCGCUGGUGAGCUGGUUGGAGCUCGAGAGGACCACAUCUACUUCAUCAGUAAGCGUGACGACUCGGACAACGAGUCCAGCGAGGAGCUCCACUCCGGCGUGUACAGCAUGAAGGAAGGGAAGGUGGCACCGUUGCCGUUGGAGACGACAGGCGCAUGGCAAGGUCGUGCAUGGCCGCCGACCUGG
rnacentral:rRNA from 1 species